rnacentral:rRNA from 1 species
GAUGAACGCUAGCUACAGGCUUAACACAUGCAAGUCGAGGGGAAACGAUAGAGAAAGCUUGCUUUUUCUAGGCGUCGACCGGCGCACGGGUGAGUAACGCGUAUCCAACCUGCCCACCACUUGGGGAUAACCUUGCGAAAGUAAGACUAAUACCCAAUGACGUCUCUAGAAGACAUCUGAAAGAGAUUAAAGAUUUAUCGGUGAUGGAUGGGGAUGCGUCUGAUUAGCUUGUUGGCGGGGGAACGGCCCACCAAGGCGACGAUCAGUAGGGGUUCUGAGACGAAGGUCCCCCACAUUGGAACUGAGACACGGUCCAAACUCCUACGGGAGGCAGCAGUGAGGAAUAUUGGUCAAUGGACGAGAGUCUGAACCAGCCAAGUAGCGUGCAGGAUGACGGCCCUAUGGGUUGUAAACUGCUUUUAUAAGGGAAUAAAGUGAGAGUCGUGACUCUUUUUGCAUGUACCUUAUGAAUAAGGACCGGCUAAUUCCGUGCCAGCAGCCGCCGUAA